rnacentral:rRNA from 1 species
AGUGAACGCUGGCGGCGUGUUUAACACAUGCAAGUCGAACGAGAACGGAUUAUAGCUUGCUAUAAUUGUCAGCUAAGUGGCGCACGGGUGAGUAAUGUAUAGGUAAUAUGCCUCUUACUAAGGGAUAACAAAUGGAAACGUUUGCUAAUACCUUAUACUCCUUAUUAACAGAAGUUAAUAAGGGAAAGAUUUAUUGGUAAGAGAUUAGCCUGUAUUGUAUCAGUUAGUUGGUGGGGUAAUGGCUUACCAAGACUAUGACACAUAACUGGUUUGAGAGGAUGAUCAGUCACACUGGAACUGAGACACGGUCCAGACUCCUACGGGAGGCAGCAGUGGGGAAUAUUGCACAGUGGACGAAAGUCUGAUGCAGCAACGCCGCGUGGAGGAUGACACAUUUCGGUGCGUAAACUCCUUUUAUAUGAGAAGAUAAUGACGGUAUUAUAUGAAUAAGCACCGGCUAACUCCGUGCCAGCAGCCGCGGUAA